UCAAGAUAGGAAAUAGCCCUUCCUAUCAAGUCCUGGGAGUCAUCCUCCGAACUUGGAAGGCAGGGUAGUGCAUACCUUUUCUUCUCAGCUCUGGAUUCUGGGGAUCGUUUCCCUUUCAGGAUAAACAGGGAAGGUCCCACACGUCACCUUCUCCUGCCAAGUCCUGCCACCCUUUCCCUACAAGCCGCAGUGCUAACCUUUUUCCCUCAGUUAGUCUUGUACCCCUCUACUAGCUAGGAAUUAAGACUCCCUGCCUUUUCAGAGCAGGAAGUAAUCCAACCAAGGUCACAUAGCCGGAAGUGGUAAGCGAAGACUCAGCACCCUGACCAGCCUGUCCCCAGUCAGCAAAUUUUUCAGCAUCCAGAGGGUGACCUCCAGAGUACCAGACCUGGGCUCACUGCCCCUCUGCAUUUGCUUGAUGGAAACCCCUUCUCUGUCCCGGAGCCUCUGGUCAGAGAGCCGUCUGAGCUCCUGGGACCGGAGAUGCUGGGUCUUGCGGUGAUUUCUGGCCCCAGUGAACAGAAGAGGCCCUGUGCUGAGCAUCCCUAUGGAGAAGGGCGUGUAGCAGAGGAACCGAAGCCGCCUGCCAAGAGCUGUGUGAGCGAGCUUGUGGUAAGUGGGUCCUUCAGUCCCAGUCAAAGCCUUCGGGCGUCUGCAGCCUUGGCUUGCUGCUUGACCACAAACUCAUGAGAGACCUUGAUCCAGGGUCCCCCAGCUAAGCAACCUUCCGAUUCUGCCUCUCAGAAGUUGUGUGGGAUGAUAAAUGCUUAGUGCUUUAAGCCAUUACAUUUUGGGAAUUAUUUGUUCGGGAGCUCUAAGUGAUGCAUACAAUAUUUCAGUAAACUGAACAUGUGGGGAGAACAGCUUCUAAGUGCGCUUGGUCCAGCUGGCUUUCCAGAGGACCUCCAAGCGCUUUCUGUGACUCAGACUUCUGGGCUCAGUGUCUGGAACAGAGAGACGAGAGGCCUGGAGCUCUGUCUAGACAUCAGGAAUGGGUGUCUCCAACAUAGCCACGGCAUCUACCCCCGGCCCCAGCUCCGAAACAGCUGCACACGGCACCCAGCCUGCAACUGCUGUGGGGAGAAGACUCCAGAAAUGUUCCUCCAUCCCUCGCCCGCACCCCCCGGCCUCACGCCCAGGUCUACCUGCAGGAAUCCACACAGGUCUCAGAAGCGAAUCACAGCUACUAUUUUUGGAACAAUUCUUAUGUGACAGGUGAUAUGCAAAGCGCCUGGCGUGCAUCUUUUAAUUUAUUCUUCCCACCAUAUCAGAUAUUCCUGAAUCUAUUUUACAGUGGAGGAAACAGAGACCCUGAAGCCACCUGCCUUGGAUCCUAGAGCUACUAGGGCGUGGCUGCUUUAGACUUCAAUUUGGAUUUGUCUAGUUCCCCCACUGAGAGGCCAGGAAGCAACCCUAGACCUGAAAAUACUUUUCUUAUCUGUUCUCUGCAAGAGAAAUCCCCUGCGCAUUCCUCCAUCAGAGAAAAGGCCACAAUCUCAACCCAGAUUCCCCAGAGCGAUGAUAUAAAGAGCUUGGGAGUGUGUGGGGGGUGAUGGGAGGGGUGGUGGGGUGGUGAUGGUCAUAUUCCAGAGCCAGGAAUCUCAGAGAUCACGGGAAUCACAGAGAGCAGGGGACUGAGAUCCAGAAAGGGAAGCGACUCUUCCAAGGACUCCAGCAGCCCAGGGCUCUUUCUACUGCACUGCCCUGCCUCUGUCACACAGAGGAGAAUUGUCACCUUGUGGGAGAAGCAUAACAGGGUAAUGGCUUUGGGGGAGGGGAAUGAGAGAGAAAGGGAAGUCAAAGGUAACAAUGGCAAAAUUGAGAUCUGCUAAUUUUGUCUUGGGUCAAGUCUACAAUGGCCAGGGGCUAUGGAACCAGCAUCACAGAUGGUCCCACUGAGAGCCUCAGCAGCCCCAGAGGACAUCACAGAACAUCUCUGAGAACAGCGCCUGGCUUGUGGCAGGACCUGCUGAAAAGCACUGUUACUCAUUUGCUGUGACGUUAGGUUGCCCUAGUCAUUCAUUCAUUCAUUCAUUCAUUCUUUCAUUUGUUAAUUCCCUAAGUAUUUAUUGACGGUCUGCUAUCUGCUAAGUACUGUUUUAGGAGCAUGGGUUAUUUCAGUGAACACAAGAUCCUUGUCCUUAUAAAGUUUACAAUACAUAGACAAUAUAUAAAUUCCAACUAACCUAGAAAGUGAAAGGUGUAAAAGAAGAAAAAUUAAAGAGGGGCUAAGACCUGAGAAUGAAAACUGCAUAUGGAGGGCGUGGGUUGAUGUCUUUUCAAGGUGGAUUGGGUCAGCCUACUUGAGGAGUAUAGUGAGUACGAACCUUUAAUAAAUAAAGUGUAAUAAAUAAAUGAAUAAAUAAAUAAAUAAUAUGUAGUAAGUGCAAACCCCUAUUAAAUGAAAAACAGGAACAAGUUGCAAACUAACCACAUAACAAGUAAGCCUGGACCAUAUGCGUGUAGUGAUAACAAACUAACCUCAUAGCAAAUACCACAUAGCAAGUAAGCCUAGACCAUAUGCGUGUAGUGAUAAGAUUGGCGCGGAGUAACAAGUUGUAAAUAUUUUAACUUGUGCGAAAUAUCGUAGACCAAAACAUGUUUACGACGUGUGUAUGUUUUCGGUGUGUAAGCAUAAGAAAAACAAGUGAUGUAAUAUGUUUAUGAAGGAGACUUAGCACAGUAUAUAAAGAGGCAUCGG